rnacentral:rRNA from 1 species
GACGAACGCUGGCGGCGUGCUUAACACAUGCAAGUCGAACGGUGAAGCGCCUUCCUUUUUGGUGGGUGUGGAUGAGUGGCGAACGGGUGAGUAACACGUGAGUAACCUGCCCCCUUCUUCUGGAUAACCGCAUGAAAGUGUGGCUAAUACGGGAUAUUCUGGGUCUGUCGCAUGAUGGGUCUGGGAAAGAUAUUGUUUCGGUGGGGGAUGGGCUCGCGGCCUAUCAGCUUGUUGGUGGGGUGAUGGCCUACCAAGGCGGUGACGGGUAGCCGGCCUGAGAGGGUGGACGGUCACACUGGGACUGAGACACGGCCAAGACUCAUACGGGAGGCAGCAGUGGGGAAUAUUGCACAAUGGGCGCAAGCCUGAUGCAGCGACGCCGCGUGAGGGAUGGAGGCCUUCGGGUUGUGAACCUCUUUCGCCAGUGAAGCAGGCCUGCCUCGUUUGUGGGUGGGUUGACGGUAGCUGGAGAAGAAGCGCCGGCUAACUACGUG